GUUUUAUUGCAAACCAAAGUUAACUGUGUAAUGGUUGCCAGCUAACUUGAACUUUACUUGGAAAUACACUUCUCUUUGAUGUCCGAUGUUGUCCUUACAUUGCAUCAAUAAAUGACUUGUCUGCAGAAGCAGGAAGUCCCCAAAUGGAGGCACUGUUGAAAUCAAGAAGCUGACUCCUCAGAAAUGGAAAAGGGAAGAGGAGGAAUCGGGGCUCGAACCCUCAACCUCCGCAUUCAAACCCCAUGUCAAUGCCACCACACCACCAUCAUGUCCGGGUUCUCAGUCGGUAGUUUCCAGUGCUCUACAGAGACAUUAUCAAUCGGAUGAGAUUUAUAGAUGAAGAGAGUCAAGAGGAGAGAGCUGGGCUCGAACUCUGUACCUCUGUAGCCAGAGGCGGAGACACUACCAUUAAGCCACGGUGGGAUUAACGAGUUCGGCGGUGAUUUUUUGGAUAGAAGAAGAUGAGC